AUGUUUAUGAAUGAAAGAAGGGAAAUAGAUGAAGUAUUCUUUAACCAGGGACCUAUUUUAAAACACAAUUUGCCUGUUGAAAUUCUAGGGGAUCCUCCUCCACCCAAGGGCGAUCCCAUAUUUGAGCUUAAACCACUACCUGAUACUCUCAAAUAUGCUUAUCUUAAUGAAAAGAAGAUAUAUUCUGUUAUUAUCAGUGCUAACCUUUCUGAGCAAGAAGAAGAGAAAUUAUUGAAAACUCUGAAGAAGCACCGUGCUGCUAUUGGAUGUACUCUUGAUGAUCUUAAGGGCAUUAGUCCCACUCUAUGCCAACACAAAAUAAAAUUUGAGAAAUACGCUAAACCGGUUGUUGAUCACCAACAAAGGUUAAAUCCUAAGAUGAAAUAA
rnacentral:rRNA from 1 species